rnacentral:rRNA from 1 species
UGGGGAAUAUUGCACAAUGGGGGAAACCCUGAUGCAGCGACGCCGCGUGAACGAAGAAGGUAUUCGUAUCGUAAAGUGCUGUCCUAUGGGAAGAUAAUGACAGUACCAUAGAAGAAAGCUCCGGCUAAAUACGUGCCAGCAGCCGCGGUAAUACGAAUGGAGCGAGCGUUGUCCGGAAUUAUUGGGCGUAAAGGGUACGCAGGCGGUUUAAUAAGUCGAAUGUUAAAGAUCGGGGCUCAACCCCGCAAAGCAUUGGAAACUGAUAAACUUGAGUAGUGGAGAGGAAAGUGGAAUUCCUAGUGUAGUGGUGAAAUACGUAGAUAUUAGGAGGAAGACCAGUAGCGAAGGCGACUUUCUGGACACAAACUGACGCUGAGGUACGAAAGCGUGGGGAGCAAACAGG